AGAGUUUGAUCCUGGCUCAGGAUGAACGCUGGCGGCGUGCUUAACACAUGCAAGUCGAACGGUGAACACGGAGCUUGCUCUGUGGGAUCAGUGGCGAACGGGUGAGUAACACGUGAGCAACCUACCCCUGACUCUGGGAUAAGCGCUGGAAACGGCGUCUAAUACUGGAUACGAGUGGCGACCGCAUGGUCAGCUACUGGAAAGAUUUAUUGGUUGGGGAUGGGCUCGCGGCCUAUCAGCUUGUUGGUGAGGUAAUGGCUCACCAAGGCGUCGACGGGUAGCCGGCCUGAGAGGGUGACCGGCCACACUGGGACUGAGACACGGCCCAGACUCCUACGGGAGGCAGCAGUGGGGAAUAUUGCACAAUGGGCGCAAGCCUGAUGCAGCAACGCCGCGUGAGGGAUGACGGCCUUCGGGUUGUAAACCUCUUUUAGCAGGGAAGAAGCGAAAGGGACG
rnacentral:rRNA from 1 species